CUUGACCGAGCCCAGCCACAGCGGGUUCUCCCUCGCUCCCGACUGCCCGUAGGCCGCCAGGAAGGCCUCGGCCUC
rfam:Streptomyces sp. CB02488 scaffold3, whole genome shotgun sequence.